GCCUGGGUGGCUCAGUGGUUGAGCAUCUGCCUUUGGCUCAGGAUCCCCGGGAUCCUGGGAUCAAGUCCCACAUCGGGCU
rnacentral:tRNA from 1 species